CCUUACACACAUUGUCUAGUUUUUUUGAACUUUGCUUUGGGUGGUGAGCCUGGCUUACUGCCCAAAGGUCUAAACACAUUUUUUUAAUGUUAAAACCUUUAACCAAUAGUCAUGAAAAUUUUUAACAAAAAUUAAAAUCUUCAAAACUUUCAACAACGGAUCUCUUGGUUCUCGCAACGA
rnacentral:misc_RNA from 1 species